GGGUUGUGAGGUUAAGCGACUAAGCGUACACGGUGGAUGCCCUGGCAGUCAGAGGCGAUGAAGGGCGUGCUAAUCUGCGAUAAGCGCCGGUAAGGUGAUAUGAACCGUUAUAACCGGCGAUUUCCGAAUGGGGAAACCCAGUGUGAUUCGUCACACUAUCAUUAACUGAAUCCAUAGGUUAAUGAGGCGAACCGGGGGAACUGAAACAUCUAAGUACCCCGAGGAAAAGAAAUCAACCGAGAUUCCCCCAGUAGCGGCGAGCGAACGGGGAGGAGCCCAGAGCCUGAAUCAGCAUGUGUGUUAGUGGAAGCGUCUGGAAAGGCGCGCGAUACAGGGUGACAGCCCCGUACACAAAAGCGCAUGUGCUGUGAGCUCGAUGAGUAGGGCGGGACACGUGGUAUCCUGUCUGAAUAUGGGGGGACCAUCCUCCAAGGCUAAAUACUCCUGACUGACCGAUAGUGAACCAGUACCGUGAGGGAAAGGCGAAAAGAACCCCGGCGAGGGGAGUGAAAAAGAACCUGAAACCGUGUACGUACAAGCAGUGGGAGCACCCUUCGGGGUGUGACUGCGUACCUUUUGUAUAAUGGGUCAGCGACUUAUAUUCUGUAGCAAGGUUAACCGUAUAGGGGAGCCGGAGGGAAACCGAGUCUUAAUUGGGCGUUAAGUUGCAGGGUAUAGACCCGAAACCCGGUGAUCUAGCCAUGGGCAGGUUGAAGGUUGGGUAACACUAACUGGAGGACCGAACCGACUAAUGUUGAAAAAUUAGCGGAUGACCUGUGGCUGGGGGUGAAAGGCCAAUCAAACCGGGAGAUAGCUGGUUCUCCCCGAAAGCUAUUUAGGUAGCGCCUCGUGAAUUCAUCUCCGGGGGUAGAGCACUGUUUCGGCUAGGGGGCCAUCCCGGCUUACCAACCCGAUGCAAACUGCGAAUACCGGAGAAUGUUAUCACGGGAGACACACGGCGGGUGCUAACGUCCGUCGUGAAGAGGGAAACAACCCAGACCGCCAGCUAAGGUCCCAAAGUCAUGGUUAAGUGGGAAACGAUGUGGGAAGGCCCAGACAGCCAGGAUGUUGGCUUAGAAGCAGCCAUCAUUUAAAGAAAGCGUAAUAGCUCACUGGUCGAGUCGGCCUGCGCGGAAGAUGUAACGGGGCUAAACCAUGCACCGAAGCUGCGGCAGCGAACGUAUCACCCAAGACAACUUUACGGAGUUGACGAUUGACGGAGCGAAGCGACGUCAAAGCGUUCAUUAAAGUCGAGUUGGCUUAGGGAUACGUUCGUUGGGUAGGGGAGCGUUCUGUAAGCCUGUGAAGGUGUGUCGUGAGGCAUGCUGGAGGUAUCAGAAGUGCGAAUGCUGACAUAAGUAACGAUAAAGCGGGUGAAAAGCCCGCUCGCCGGAAGACCAAGGGUUCCUGUCCAACGUUAAUCGGGGCAGGGUGAGUCGACCCCUAAGGCGAGGCCGAAAGGCGUAGUCGAUGGGAAACGGGUUAAUAUUCCCGUACUUGGUGUUACUGCGAAGGGGGGACGGAGAAGGCUAUGUUGGCCGGGCGACGGUUGUCCCGGUUUAAGCGUGUAGGUGUGUGUUCCAGGUAAAUCCGGUUCACUUUAACACUGAGGCGUGACGACGAGGCACUACGGUGCUGAAGCAACAAAUGCCCUGCUUCCAGGAAAAGCCUCUAAGCAUCAGGUAACACGAAAUCGUACCCCAAACCGACACAGGUGGUCAGGUAGAGAAUACCAAGGCGCUUGAGAGAACUCGGGUGAAGGAACUAGGCAAAAUGGUGCCGUAACUUCGGGAGAAGGCACGCUGACACGUAGGUGAAGUGAUUUACUCAUGGAGCUGAAGUCAGUCGAAGAUACCAGCUGGCUGCAACUGUUUAUUAAAAACACAGCACUGUGCAAACACGAAAGUGGACGUAUACGGUGUGACGCCUGCCCGGUGCCGGAAGGUUAAUUGAUGGGGUCAGCGUAAGCGAAGCUCCUGAUCGAAGCCCCGGUAAACGGCGGCCGUAACUAUAACGGUCCUAAGGUAGCGAAAUUCCUUGUCGGGUAAGUUCCGACCUGCACGAAUGGCGUAAUGAUGGCCAGGCUGUCUCCACCCGAGACUCAGUGAAAUUGAACUCGCUGUGAAGAUGCAGUGUACCCGCGGCAAGACGGAAAGACCCCGUGAACCUUUACUAUAGCUUGACACUGAACAUUGAGCCUUGAUGUGUAGGAUAGGUGGGAGGCUUUGAAGUGUGGACGCCAGUCUGCAUGGAGCCGACCUUGAAAUACCACCCUUUAAUGUUUGAUGUUCUAACGUGGACCCGUAAUCCGGGUUGCGGACAGUGUCUGGUGGGUAGUUUGACUGGGGCGGUCUCCUCCUAAAGAGUAACGGAGGAGCACGAAGGUUGGCUAAUCCUGGUCGGACAUCAGGAGGUUAGUGCAAUGGCAUAAGCCAGCUUGACUGCGAGCGUGACGGCGCGAGCAGGUGCGAAAGCAGGUCAUAGUGAUCCGGUGGUUCUGAAUGGAAGGGCCAUCGCUCAACGGAUAAAAGGUACUCCGGGGAUAACAGGCUGAUACCGCCCAAGAGUUCAUAUCGACGGCGGUGUUUGGCACCUCGAUGUCGGCUCAUCACAUCCUGGGGCUGAAGUAGGUCCCAAGGGUAUGGCUGUUCGCCAUUUAAAGUGGUACGCGAGCUGGGUUUAGAACGUCGUGAGACAGUUCGGUCCCUAUCUGCCGUGGGCGCUGGAGAACUGAGGGGGGCUGCUCCUAGUACGAGAGGACCGGAGUGGACGCAUCACUGGUGUUCGGGUUGUCAUGCCAAUGGCACUGCCCGGUAGCUAAAUGCGGAAGAGAUAAGUGCUGAAAGCAUCUAAGCACGAAACUUGCCCCGAGAUGAGUUCUCCCUGAGACUUAGAGUCUCCUGAAGGAACGUUGAAGACGACGACGUUGAUAGGCCGGGUGUGUAAGCGCAGCGAUGCGUUGAGCUAACCGGUACUAAUGAACCGUGAGGCUUAACCUUACAACGCCGAAG
rnacentral:rRNA from 1 species